rnacentral:lncRNA from 1 species
AUAGACUUAAGUACAUGCAAAAGAUAAGGAUCAGCCAACUAAUUUGGCCUUGACUCACGCCUUACUCCAACAUGCAGAUGCCAUGCAACAAGGUAACUAGCUAGACCUAUUCUUCCGCCACAAAAUCACUUCGUGGCCUUCCAGCUUGAGCUGCAGCUCUGCAUGCAUCUUAACACAUCCAACUAAAUGCUUGCAUGCAGCCGCUAAUCACUAGUUCUACAUGCUAAUGCAACAGCCUUUACACAUCGUAGAUAUCGGCACGUUCGUCCGGCCGCAUCGCACAGCUCACAGCAAGCACGUUUCACACGUACUGGCUCGGAUCCUUUGCUGCCACACACUACUACCUUGUGCAAAACCUAUACAAACCAAAUGCAUACACUCUAAAGACAAGAUUAUUGCUAACAUUUACCCCCCUAAUCUUGGCAUGCUUCAUUCAGAGAAGAGUUGGCUCCUCAUCACUUGACGCUGCGGCAAGGAGCGCUAUCUCCUUCUUCUUCUUUUUCUCAGGGCACUCAUACGCAAAGUGUCCAAGUUCUUGACAGUAGUAGCACAUUGUCUUGGACCUGUCCGGCUUCUUGACGCGGCUGCGGCCACCGCUUGUGUCGCCGGACGUGAAAAGUAGAUGCUCGCCAUUCUUGUCAUCACGCUUGCGUAUCCUUUCCUCGUAUGCCUUGAGGCGACCAAUUGCCUCAUCAAAUGGCAUGCUGUCCAAGUCAGAGAACUGCUCAAUUGCAGCGAUGACAUGCAGAAACUUAUCUGGCACAGAAUCGAGUAGUUUCUUGACUUGCUCAUCAUCGUCCAUGGUUACACCAAGAUCGCUCAACUUGUUUGCCAGGCCACUGAUUUUGCCGGCAAACUCGUCGAUUGACUCGGUGUCCUUCAUGUGCAAUGCCUUGAAAUCGCUCUUCAAGGUUUGCACUCGCGCCUUCUUCACACGCUCAACGCCAAGGAACCUCGUCUUGAGGCUUUCCCAGACCUCCUUGGCAGUCUUCUUCUUCGCGAUCUGCUGCAACACGUCUUCGGGGACGGCCCCGAAGAGACACGCACGUGCCUGCUUGUCCUUCUUAAUGUCCACGGCCUCAUCGGCCGCGGGCUCGAUGGCAUCCCAGAUGCCUUGCGCCUCCAUGUUAGCCUCCAUCUUGAUCGCCCAGGUGGAGUAGUUGGUGGAGGUGAGCACUGGAUAUGGGAGCGACACGAUGCCCUCCCUCAUCGAUCGCGAUGCGGAGUGCUCGACGAUGGCCAUCUUGUUGAAGCGCAGGAUCUUGGGCAUAAAUUGGCUCUGAUACCAAUUGUUAGAAUCUCUCCUCUCUGAAUGUUUAAGUACUAAUCACUAGCACUAACAUAAACACUUGUAUUUACUCGGUGGACACAAACACACAAGAACUGAACAAAACACACAGGCUUUUGGUUGAUGUGGCUAAUCACAACUCACACCAUUUUCUUCAUUACAUAGACUUAAGUACAUGCAAAAGAUAAGGAUCAGCCAACUAAUUUGGCCUUGACUCACGCCUUACUCCAACAUGCAGAUGCCAUGCAACAAGGUAACUAGCUAGACCUAUUCUUCCGCCACAAAAUCACUUCGUGGCCUUCCAGCUUGAGCUGCAGCUCUGCAUGCAUCUUAACACAUCCAACUAAAUGCUUGCAUGCAGCCGCUAAUCACUAGUUCUACAUGCUAAUGCAACAGCCUUUACACAUCGU